rnacentral:rRNA from 1 species
GACGAACGCUGGCGGCGUGCUUAACACAUGCAAGUCGAACGGAAAGGCCCUGCUUUUGUGGGGUGCUCGAGUGGCGAACGGGUGAGUAACACGUGAGUAACCUGCCCUUGACUUUGGGAUAACUUCAGGAAACUGGGGCUAAUACCGGAUAGGAGCUCCUGCUGCAUGGUGGGGGUUGGAAAGUUUCGGCGGUUGGGGAUGGACUCGCGGCUUAGCAGCUUGUUGGUGGGGUAGUGGAGUACCAAGGCUUUGACGGGUAGCCGGCCUGAGAGGGUGACCGGCCACAUUGGGACUGAGAUACGGCCCAUACUCCUACGGGAGGCAGCAGUGGGGAAUAUUGCACGAUGGGCGGAAGCCUGAUGCAGCAACGCCGCGUGCGGGAUGACGGCCUUCGGGUUGGAAACCGCGUUCGCCUGGGACGAAGCGUGAGUGACGGUAAUGGGUAAAGAAGCACCGGCUAACUACGUG